UUGAUUCUUGAAUGAAUCUGAAUGAUGACUGAAGAGUGGUCAGCCAUUCGUCUACUUAACUAUUGAUUAAAUUUAAAUACAACUCCUUGUAUUUAAUCAAUGACUUAACUCAAUCCCUAUAUUGAGUUCAGUGUUUUCGUCUGCGGUCUGAUAGCAAUUAUCAACAGACCAAUGACUAAACCUUAUCUAGUGACAUGCUGUAUUUAAAUUGAAACAAAGUUGUAUUCUUAAGAUUCUACAACACAAUUUAUACUGUCAUGUAACCUGACAAGUGACAACCGUAUGUUAAUAUUCACUAAUAAUGUAAAUCAUAUUUUUAUUCAGAGUAUUGUCAAAUGUCAAUGACGAAUACCGAUGAAAAAAUCGAGUCGCGACCAUGGACAUAAUACCUACAUUAUUAUUAUUAUUACCCAUCAUUAUGUUUAAACAUUCUAUAGUACCUAGUGGUUCACGAGAGCGGAACUCCGUAUUAUAGGUAUAUACAAAUAAAGAAGUAGUGUGCAGGAUUGAAUUGAAUUAUUUAAUAAUAAACAGUUGAUGUUUUUUGUCGCAGUGGUAUUAUUCACAAUUUUAUGUUGUCAAUCAUCAUGUCCAGUUUAAAAGAUUUUAUAUCUUAUUGGUAUAUGCGUUAUUUGUUAGUGACCGAGCUGUAUUUAGUGGAGAAAUGGGAAAGAAGAAUGAUACAUGUAUUAUUAUUGCUAUUGUUCAUAGGACUUUGGUGUAUAAACAAAAUGUUGAUUAAUUUCCUUUCAAAUAAUAUGUCAUCUCUUAUCAAUAGAUGAUUGUUUUGAACUAUUUUAGUAUUAAG